AACGAACGCUGGCGGCGUGCCUAACACAUGCAAGUCGUGCGAGAAAGUUCCUUCGGGAGCGAGUAAAGCGGCGCACGGGUGAGUAACACGUAGGUAACCUGCCCCCCAGUCUGGAACAACUAGAGGAAACUCUAGCUAAUGCCGGAUGAGACCACGAUCCCUUCGGGGGUUGCGGCCAAAGAUGGCCUCUACUUGUAAGCUAUCGCUGAGGGAUGGGCCUGCGGGCCAUUAGCUUGUUGGUGAGGUAACGGCUCACCAAGGCUGUGAUGGCUAGCUGGUCUGAGAGGAUGACCAGUCACACUGGGACUGAGACACGGCCCAGACUCCUACGGAGGCAGCAGUGGGGAAUAUUGCGCAAUGGGCGAAAGCCUGACGCAGCGACGCCGCGUGGGUGAUGAAGGCCU
rnacentral:rRNA from 1 species